rnacentral:rRNA from 1 species
UACGUAGGGUGCAAGCGUUAAUCGGAAUUACUGGGCGUAAAGCGUGCGCAGGCGGCUUUGCAAGUCAGAUGUGAAAUCCCCGGGCUUAACCUGGGAACUGCAUUUGAGACUGCAUGGCUAGAGUGCGGCAGAGGGGGAUGGAAUUCCGCGUGUAGCAGUGAAAUGCGUAGAUAUGCGGAGGAACACCGAUGGCGAAGGCAAUCCCCUGGGCCUGAACUGACGCUCAUGCACGAAAGCGUGGGGAGCAAACAGG